rnacentral:lncRNA from 1 species
CUGAAAAUAAAUCAACUCAAUGAAAAAAAAAAACAAUUGUGUCUAAUAAUGUGGUGAUUAAUAAAUUUGAAAAAGAAGUGAACACAAAUUACUUGGCUAAUAUGCAGUUGGAAGUGGAAGGGGAGCCCGUUCAAUACUUGACUGAGGUGUCAUUGAGGUGCAUGUGAGCAUGUUUAGUACCUUCUUGAUGUGCAUAUGGAGGUGGAUGGGGAAAUGGAGAUGGAAUACCUUUAGGAUUACUUGUUUCAGGUACAGUUAGGGGUGGACUUUGUAAUUUGUAUUAUAAUACCUUUAGGAUUACUUGUUUUAGGAUUACCUUUGGGAUGGAAUACCUUUAGGCUUAUGUAACCUACAUAUACUGUAGCAUAUGGCAUACUGGAUUCUUGUUCUGUUGUUAUCUUUUACUUGUCCAACUCACUAAGAUUUAAGCUUACACACAUGCACCAGCACUACACCUGCUCUCAACCCCUCCCUGCACCAUUCAAAUUGUUGCUCAAUAUCGUGUUCUCAUCAUAUGAUAUCCUUUUUCCCUCAGUUAAUGCUCAUUGCUCAUGCUAUGCUUCUAUCUUAUUAUCUCACCUAAUUUGUAUUAUAAUAAUCAUACACGUACCAUAUCAAAAGGUUACUAAGUUAACCCUUUGCAACUUUUUAACAGCAGAAAGAGGUCUAGCAUGGAAAACCUUGACAUGUAUCCACUGGACAAGAAAACAUAAAGGUUAGAUAUAGUGACAUUUUAAUUAAAUAACAUUUUAAUGGCUGAGGUGGAAUUUGGCAGCAUUUGACAAUUUCCAAAUUGAUGACCUUAUAAUGCAAAGACAUUUGAAUCAACUAAAACUAUCGAGUGUAGUCAGAUCACCAGUUUCUCUCCUUUUUAUGUUGCCCAGCUUAUGUUUAACUAAAAGUACAACUCAAAUAAAAUUCCAAUCAACAUAAAAGCAUUAACACUUCCACCCCACACCUCCUACCUAAUCUCAAUAUAACUCCAAAAUUCUCCAUUAAAAAUGAUGCUCGGUAUCUAUUUAUUAGGCCAAAAGUGAACUUGGCAAACUAAAAAAUAAACUAAUAAUGUUUAGAAGAUUGGUUUAGAAAGGAUGGAUCGAAAAAGAUAAUCUAAUUUGGUUGUACCUAAAGCUUGAGUUUGGGUCUAAGCAGUCAAUCAAAUUUGCUAAUGCAUUAUUUUAUUGGUAACUAACUUAAUAUGACAUGCCUAGAAACACAUACUUGUUUCCACUCCACCAAUUGUUGAAGCAAAUCCAUCACCUGCAUGAAACAAAUAUAUGAAUAAAUAUAUAAACAAACACAUCUUUUGUGUAUAUGAUACCAUGGUGCAAAAAUAGAUGAAAUAAGGAAAUUAAUCAUAUUAUACGUGCUUUUUUAGGUUCUUGUAAAGAGUAGGAUGCAGUAGUGUACUUUGGGAAUUUCAGACAAGAAUCCCCAAACCUUGUCCUCUGUCUCUUAGUUUCUGAUUAUCAAAAGAAAUUAACAACCACUAGUUAGUUGACAUAGUUCAGAUUAUCCCAAAAAUCUACAAACGAAUGUAAUAUAUUAAAUAACAAAUGAAAGUAAAUAGAAAUCGAAAAAAAAUUGUGAUGAUUUGGACAUGUGAGAAACAAACCAACACACUAGUGACCAAACUCACAUUCAAGCUUUGUCAUAUAUAGCUUAUAGUUAGAAGUGGGAAAUUUCUAAAAGUAGAAGCAGGCCACAUUGACAACACCAAUGUGAACUCAGUCUAUCUAUGCACGAAACGAAAUGUUAAACAAUUAUUUUGUAAUGUAUACCUAAUACUUCACAAAUGUUUAAGGGAGAUGAUAUAAUGUUGUCAUUUCUGUCAGAUGAGAUAAUUUAGAAUAUGGGUUGAGGGAAAAUGACUAUGAACCCAUAAGAAUUAUGAACAAGAAAAAUAUAAUCCAAAAGAAAAAGCAAGGAAUAAACAAGAACGCUUAUGAAUGAGAAACUAUAUAAAUCAUCUAUAUUCAACUACGAUCAUCUGGCUUAUCCCCAGUUCACCAUCAUUCUUUAUUCUCAGCUAGUUACUUUCACUCCUCAUGCACCUCUUUUUACCUACUUUGCUUUCCAAAAGAGAUUUACAUAACUACACUCCUCAUUCAAACUCUGAAACUUGAUCGGAGUAAUGGAAGAGAAGAUUGUCGUGGGUGAGGGGCUUCCUGGAAACUACACAAAACAAGUGGACCAGGGCCUCAGCUUGGUGGUCGAGGUGGUGGCGAACCACUUCACAACCAUUUGAUCUAAGAGUUAGCAAAAUAAGUGAUCUAGGCGUGAGAAAUGGGAAAAUUGAAAAUCAAUUUUGAAAAACCAAUUAGGUCAUAAAGAAAACGAAUAACAAAUAGGACUCACGCUAAAACGUUGAAUCUCACAGGCGUAGUCGCUGUCGAACACACCCAACUCCUUACUCUGAAAAUCCUUCAAAAAAAAUCGAUUCACCCUUCGCAAAAGCUUCAUUUCUUCGAAUGAUCCGCUCCCACCGCAACCCUUCCCUGGCCGCGUACUCUCUCGUUCUCCGAUCCCUCUCCGGCGCUGGCUUCUUCUUCGGCGUUAAAAUUAAAAUGAGAAUCAAAAUCAAAAUCGAAAGGGUUGGAAAAUGAUUUACCUCUGAAAUCAAAUUAUUUGUAGUCUCGUGCGAGCAACAAAGAGUAAUUUCUCUCUGAAACGAAAUACUCCUCUCACACUAGAGUUUGUUCACAGCGAAGAGAAAAUAAACUUUUCAAAGUGUAGAUUCUUAAAAACAAAAUAAAUAAAAUAUUUAGUGCGGUUUAAUAAAAAACCCCUGACACUUACAAAGGUUUGAGAAACCUCCAUAAGCUGAGUGUAUUACCAGAGGUUAUUUUAACCUCUACCAAUAAACCUCUCCUAAAAUCAAUUAUUUUUGUAGUGAUUGUUGAUAAUAUAAAGAUUUUCAUACAACUACAAAUUAUCAUGUGUAACUUUAUUUCAUAGCAAUAAAAUUAAAAUGUAUUUAUAUUGGAUUGUUACUAUUAUCUUUGUUUUUGUAUAGG